CUCCAUCUUGUCGGGACUCACGAUAGAGAAACUGAAUCAUGUGAUAACUACACCUAGAGAUUCUAUUUAUUCUAUUCUAUAUAGCUAGACAUCACUGACGGAUUGUGAUAACUCACUAAGAUCAUUCUGGAUUGAUGAUCCUUGAUAGGUGUGAGUUGAAAUUAUUUCAAUCCAUUGAAAGGUGUUUCGAUAAUACUAUGAUAGAGAUCAUGGUAUAUCUCACUACC
rnacentral:lncRNA from 1 species